UGCCGGAACUUGUGCGACAGAUUCCCGUGAACCGGGUCAGGUUGGGAACAAAGCAGCCCUAAGCGAUGAAUCUGUGCGCCGCAGGAACUCU
rnacentral:SRP_RNA from 1 species